GAUGAACGCUGGCGGCGUGCCUAAUACAUGCAAGUCGAGCGAACAGACGAGGAGCUUGCUCCUCUGACGUUAGCGGCGGACGGGUGAGUAACACGUGGAUAACCUACCUAUAAGACUGGGAUAACUUCGGGAAACCGGAGCUAAUACCGGAUAAUAUAUUGAGCCGCAUGGUUCAAUAGUGAAAGACGGUUUUGCUGUCACUUAUAGAUGGAUCCGCGCCGCAUUAGCUAGUUGGUAAGGUAACGGCUUACCAAGGCAACGAUGCGUAGCCGACCUGAGAGGGUGAUCGGCCACACUGGAACUGAGACACGGUCCAGACUCCUACGGGAGGCAGCAGUAGGGAAUCUUCCGCAAUGGGCGAAAGCUUGACGGAGCAACGCCGCGUGAGUGAUGAAGGUCUUCGGAUCGUAAAACUCUGUUAUUAGGGAAGAACAAAUGUGUAAGUAACUAUGCACGUCUUGACGGUACCUAAUCAGAAAGCCACGGCUAACUACGU
rnacentral:rRNA from 1 species